UCCCAGUUAGUACAAUGGUUAGUAUAGGGCACUCUCACUCCACCGUUGUAUUAACACGAUCUUGUACUGCUCAGAUCAGGGUUCGAUUCCCUGGCCGGGAA
rnacentral:tRNA from 1 species